rnacentral:rRNA from 1 species
CCUACGGGUGGCAGCAGUGAGGAAUAUUGGUCAAUGGCCGGAAGGCUGAACCAGCCAAGCCGCGUGAAGGACGAAGGUGCCAAGCAUUGUAAACUUCUUUUGUCAAGGGACAAAAUCAGGCUCGAGAGCCUGACCGAGGGUACUUGAAGAAAAAGCAUCGGCUAACUCCGUGCCAGCAGCCGCGGUAAUACGGAGGAUGCGAGCGUUAUCGGUAUUUAUUGGGUUUAAAGGGUGCGUAGGCGGACUGUUAAGUCAGCGGUAAAAGUCCGGGGCUAAACCCCAGCGAGACGUUGAAACUGGCAGUCUUGAGAUGUCGAGAGGUAUGCGGAAUGCGCGGUGUAGCGGUGAAAUGCUUAGAUAUUGCGCAGAACUCCGAUUGCGAAGGCAGCAUACCGGCGGCGAUCUGACGCUGAGGCACGAAAGCGUGGGUAUCGAACAGGAUUAGAUACCCUUGUAGUC